GUCAGUGGUCCUCCAUUCCUACCUGUGGUAUUUUGGACACACUUGCAGAGAUCACUUCUUGGGAACUCAUUUGGGAGUCAGUGAUACCAGUAAAUCCUUGAAAUAAGACUCCAAACAAAGGGACUGUUGUCCAAGUGCUACCUUGUGAAGGUGAUGACUACAAAUGAGAGGUGGAUUUAUUACUGAGGGUGCCAUUACUUCUACCACAAACUUCACCAAAACAAUGAUACAGUCUUCUUUAUGCUUGGAGAAUCAUCUCUUUCCUGUGUUGCAGUGGACACCUCCUGCAGAUAAGAAAUGCUUAACUGAGAAAUGCUCAUGUUGGGAUAUCAUCGAUGAGACUUUAAUUUGGGCAUGGUGACUGUUUCCCUUGCUGCCACUUGACUCAAUCCCAGGAGCCUCAGUAGAGGAAAUAUUAUUGCACAAGAAACUCAAAAU